rnacentral:lncRNA from 1 species
UAACAUUUUCUUUUAGGGUUAGAAAGUGAAGAAAUUAGGGCUUCUUCUUCACGUUCUCAUUUCUCUUCACUUUUCUUCUUCACCUUCUUAUUCUUCUUCCCGUCGCGGUCUUUCCCUUCAUUUUUGUUCUCCUUCAUUCUUUAGUGGGUUGUUGCAAGUGGUGUGCACAUUCUCCUUCAUGUUCUUGUCGUACUGCAAGUGUCGUGUCGUGCUCUUCCACCUUCUUCUCAAGGUUUCUCCUCCACCUUCUCUUCCACCGUGAGUUUUAGGGAUUCGUGACCAAAGGUAAUAAAUUUUGUAUUCAUUUCUUUAUUAAGUGAAAGAUUCAUGUUGUGUGCUUUGUAUUGGGUGAUAUGUGUUUAAAUCUGUUGUGGUCAUAGUUGUUUGAGCUUACUAUUUGUUUUUUUUUAUGGAGCAUGACUUUUUUUUGUGUGGAAUCUAUUGUUAAAAGUAUACAUUUGCGUUUACUUAAUUUGUGUAACUAUGUUUGCUUUUUUAGUAUUUUUUUUCUCCAAAAAAUACAUUUUCUGAAGCUAUUAUGGUUGGGGUGGGACAUGAUUUAGGGAGAAAGUGAGUUAAAUAAGGUUUUUAGAGGGUGACAGUAUCUGGUGACCUUAGUAGGAAUAUGUGGUGACUCACGUUAGACUUUUUGCAUAGACCCAGGGAAACUUUUUUUGAAACUGUCUAGUGAGUAUCCGUGUUUCUUCUGGAGGUUAUGAGGUGAGGAAAAAAUGGGUUAAAUGAGUUCCUUAGAGGGCAUGAGAGUAGAACAAUGUGCAAUGAGCAAAAAAAUUUACUCAAUUUAAAGUGUGACACUAUGUGGUGACACUAGUAGGAAUAUGUGAUGACCCAUAUUAGUAAAAUGCAUAACAUAUUUGACCUUCGAUUUAAUUUCCAUUUCUUAAAACAGUUCUUAUCCAUAUAACUAUGCACGAGUGUUUUUAAAUAGAAGUUACUUGUACUUGCUAUAGACCACAGACAAGCCUGCCAAUUCAGAAGUUAUGUGUUCGAGGGUCAUGGGUGAAAUUGAAGUCAACCUAAAUACAUUCAAUGAGAUACGUAGUACAGUUGAGGGGCUACGUACAAAAUAUGUAUGUUGUUGAAGAACUAAACUCU